CCCUUAGAUGUCCUGGGCCGCACGCGCGUUACACUGAUGCAUUCAACGAGCUUAUAACCUUGGCCGAGAGGCCUGGGCAAUCUUGUUAACGUGCAUCGUGAUAGGGAUAGAUUAUUGAAAUUAUUAAUCUUGAACGAGGAAUUCCUAGUAAACGCAGAUCAUCAAUCUGCAUUGAUUACGUCCCUGCCCUUUGUACACACCGCCCGUCGCACCUACCGAUUGGAUGGUCCGGUGAAGCCUCGGGAUUGUGGCCAGUUCACUUUAUUGGGAGUUGGCUGCGAGAACUUGUCUAAACCUUAUCAUUUAGAGGAAGGUGAAGUCGUAACA
rnacentral:rRNA from 1 species